CCCGAAUAUAAGUAACUAAGUCCGCACAAACGUUAAAAAACAAUACCCAACAACCAUUUCAAACCUUAAGAGUACAACAACAUAUGCAAAAACUACAAUCCAACAACCAUUUCAAACCUGUUGAGACGGAUGUUAUGGGCGUCCGAGUUGAAUCUCCUCUCCGGGUCUAGGAUACACGAGCGUCUCCCCCAUAUAAGCACCUAAAAACGCCGAUAAACUCAACUUAUCAAUCGCUUCCCGAUGAUACGAUUUGCACACCAGUAUAAAACACCGUUUGAGUCACAAUAAACAUCAAAAACAACACCAAUAGCAUAAGUCCACACGCUAUUCCAAUCACCACCCUCCAAAUCAACGCCAGUUUAUACACUUCAUGUCCGUAUUCCACAAACAACAAGUAUACAAUAAUUACACCUACCAAAAUCCCAUUCAACACGACCGCAAUUCCCAUUCCCACCGCCUUCUUCCCUUUCGCUAGAUUCUUACCUUUCUUCAACGCGCUAAAUCCAUAAAUGUUUUCUAGAACAGUAACAACACUAGCCAGUUGACAAACAACCAUCAAGUAUAAAAACCCGUACGCGUAUAAAAUCAAAAUAAUUAUUAUAACCACUCCGCCUAAACCCGAAUAACCGAAUAUAGCUCUAGGAAUAGCCAAAGCAACACCGCCAAUUACAUCGUAGAUGAAUUGCGCAAUGUAUAUGAAUACGAAAGUGAUGCAAAGUCGUUUCCAUAUCUUCGAAAUGACUUUCGUGACGUUAUGAAAAACGACUUCACGGGUUGUGUAGAUGGAGGCAAUGGUGAACACGACCGCAGCGGUAGAUAGGACAGAGAGGAUGAGGAGGAUAAUGAAGUAUGCGAAUGUGAAUAGCGCGUAGUAGAGCCAGUCCUUGGUGGUUGCUUCGCGCUUAUCGUUGGUAUGGUAUGGUAUCGUGUUGUUGUCGAUUUUCCAAAAGAAAUGGUGUGAGAUUUCCAUUUGAAGUAUGAAGAAGAUUGCGAGAGGAAGGAUGAAGGCGAGAGUGAUUUGCGCGAAAAUUUUGUUCCAUGAGAAGAUUAUUUUGAAUGAUUGGUUGAAUAUGCCAAAGAACCCGACGUGUUUCAUAUCGUCUUCGGUUCGAUCCAUGGCGAUUUUUGGUGGAUUGUUGAAGAUGAUCAAGUUGUGA
rnacentral:lncRNA from 1 species